UGAAUACGAGAUGCUACGGCGUCGAAGCAGUGUAUGUCAGACUUCCAAGAAAAGCUCGCAAUGUCAUAAAUAAAGAAUGCCUGUACCAUAACCGACACAGGUGGGUAGGUAGAGUAUACUAAGGGGCGCGAGAUAACUCUCUCUAAGGAACUCGGCAAAAUAACUCCGUAACUUCGGGAGAAGGAGUGCCUUCUAUUAGAAGGUUGCAAUAACAAGAUCCAAGCAACUGUUUAUCAAAAACACAGGUCUCCGCUAAGUCGUAAGACGAUGUAUGGGGGCUGACGCCUGCCCAGUGCCAGAAGGUUAAAGAAGUUGGUUAGCUUUGGCGAAGCUGAUGACUGAAGCCCUGGUGAACGGCGGCCGUAACAAUAACGGUCCUAAGGUAGCGAAAUUCCUUGUCGGGUAAGUUCCGACCCGCACGAAAGGCGUAAUGAUUUGGAUACUGUCUCGGAGAGGGACUCGGUGAAAUAGACUUGUCUGUGAAGAUGCGGACUACCUGCACCAGGACAGAAAGACCCUAUGAAGCUUUACUGUAACUUGAAAUUGAAAUUGGACUUUAUUUGCGCAGCAUAGGUGGAAGGCGUUGAGAUUACUCUUGCGGGAGUACUGGAGCCAUCAGUGAGAUACCACUCCUAUAAUGUUAGAUUUCUAACUUUGGAUCAUGAUCUGGUCAAAGAACAGUUUCAGGCGGGCAGUUUGACUGGGGCGGUCGCCUCCCAAAUGGUAACGGAGGCGUACAAAGGUUUCCUCUGAACGGGUAGAAAUCGUAUCUAGAGUGUAAAGGCAUAAGGAAGCUUGACUGUGAGACCUACAAGUCGAGCAGGGACGAAAGUCGGUCUUAGUGAUCUGACGGUGCUGAGUGGAAAGGCCGUCACUCAACGGAUAAAAGUUACUCUAGGAUAACAGGCUGAUCUCCCCCAAGAGUUCACAUCGACGGGGAGGUUUGGCACCUCGAUGUCGGCUCAUCGCAUCCUGGGGCGGUAGUACGUCCCAAGGGUUGGGCUGUUCGCCCAUGAAAGCGGUACGCGAGCUGGGUUCAGAACGUCGUGAGACAGUUCGGUCCAUAUCCGGUGUAGGCGUUAGAAUAUUGAGAGGAGCCUUCUUUAGUACGAGAGGACCGAGAAGGACAUACCUCUGGUGUACCAGUUAUCGUGCCAACGGUAAACGCUGGGUAGCUAUGUAUGGAGAGGAUAACCGCUGAAAGCAUCUAAGUGGGAAGCCCACCUCAAGAUGAG
rnacentral:rRNA from 1 species